rnacentral:piRNA from 1 species
UACCCCAAGGGCAUUAUGCGACUCCUCC